ACUCAAAGGAAUAGACGGGGGCCCGCACAAGCAGCGGAGCGUGUGGUUUAAUUCGAGGCUACGCGAAGAACCUUACCUGGGUUUGACAUAGCAUGGAACAAGGCUGAAAGGCUGAGGUUCCCGCAAGGGACCGUGUUACAGGUGCUGCAUGGCUGUCGUCAGCUCGUGCCGUGAGGUGUUCGGUUAAGUCCGCAAACGAGCGCAACCCCCGGGGUUAGUUAUACGUGUCUAACCCGACUGCCCGUGGCAAACGGGAGGAAGGUGGGGAUGAUGUCAAGUCAGCAUGGCCUUUAUAUCCAGGGCUACACACACGCUACAAUGGCGUAUACAAUGGGUAGCGAACCCGUGAGGGGGAGCCAAUCCUGCAAAGUACGUCUCAGUUCGGAUUGCAGGCUGCAACCCGCCUGCAUGAAGUUGGAGUUGCUAGUAACCGCGCGUCAGCACAGUGCGGUGAAUACGUUCCCGGGCCUUGCACACACCGCCCGU
rnacentral:rRNA from 1 species